AAACAGUGAUAACAUCACAACACCAACGACGAACGAUUCAGUACAAAACUGACUCGUGACCCGCAAUCCACGACCCAAAAUCGUCAACCAACUCUGAUAUCAGCGAAAACCUGACCCGACCUUGUACACGCACGUCUCACGCGAUAGUAUGACGAGGAAAGGUUCGAGAAUCUUCUAGAAAAAUGCCUAGGUGUCUCAUCCAAUGUUCGAAUCUCGAGAUUUUUGGGUUAAUUGGUACUAAUUCGUACACACUCGCUCAAUUUCUAUUGGUUGAUAAAGGGAAUUUCAUCCCUCAAUUCUAUUGGUUGGCCAAUUUUGAAUUUCAUCAAGAAAAUUCCAAAAUUCGUACAAGUUGUUGGUGGAAAACCCUAUAUUCAGCUCCAAUUCGAAUUUCCCCUACCAAAAAUUCCGAGUUUACCCCCGUUGUCCUCUUUCCCACAUCGUUCAAAGCCUAAGAAGGAACCUUCAAUUCUCUCCUAUAAAAGGAGCUCGUUGUCGAGCCGUGAAGGGGGUUGGAAAUUUCUUUUGGGGGGAAACAAAAACAAGAGAAAAAGUCUCAAAUAAGGGAAGGGGGGAAAACCUGAGAGGUUCGAAAAAGCUUUUGGAAAAAAUAGUUUUUGUAGUAUAAGUUCUUUUGUUUAAGAAAGGUCAACGAUUGUUCGGAUUUUUUGGAGUCACGGCAAGGUCCUCCGGUGGUAAUCGAGAUUUCGUCAAAAGUUCGAGUCCUGUUUUGCUGGCCCGAGAGAGGCUCAAUUUCUCCUUGCAUUUUCCUCAUAGGCCAUUGAGGCCCACUACCUCUAUUGAGUCAACUCCUAGAGAAAGUUCAAAAGUCGAUCAUGUGGUGUACAAUUAUGAGAAGUCAAAAGAAGAAAAAUGGGUUAAUGUCUCAUAUUUAAAAAGGCAAAGAGACUCGAGUCUCAUUUUUCUUUAUUUAUUUAUUGUUGUCUUAUUUAUUUCUUUAUUUAUUCAUUUGGGCCUCGAAGCCAAAGUUGUAAGCUAAUACAGGUGAAGCGAAACUUGAGCCAAAGGCUUGAAAAAAUAGUUUAAGACACGUUAUGGGCCGAAAGCCAAAUGCUUAGAUUAGGAUCGGUACAAGUGAGUCAAAAGCUCAAUUAGAAUAGGACAGGGUUUGUUGAUUUGGGCUCAAUGGUCUAAGUCUUUUACUUUCUCCCCUUCCCUUUUUUAUGUGCUAUUUGCUAUUUUAUUCACUUAGACUUAGUUGAAAUUUCCGCUAAGUCGCUAAAAAUGAUUUUGCAAAAGCUUUUAAAAAAAUUCCUUAAUCAACUUUUUUUCAACAAUCGACCCUUUUUUAGAAUUAGUCAAAAGGAAAACUAUUUUUUCAAAUAGUCUGGAUAAUCGCAAGUUAACAGACAUUUUAGGUGCUUUAAAAAAUCUUCCUAAAAUAUUAAUAGGAACUGCUUAUCUAGAAUUUCAACUUAAAUGAUUUUCUUGUUUUGAAUCAUCUAAGUAUUUUAUAAAGAUUUUUUUAAUUUCUUUUCAAAUAAAUUAAGUGGCGACUUUAAAAGUUAAAAUUUUUGCAAAACAAUUAUUAUAGAUGUUUUUUGCAAUAUGCAUCACAUCAAUGUUAGAAUUCUAGUAUGGUAAAUCUCAAAAUAUGCUUCGCUUUUUCCACCCAAAUGUCUUACAUAUUGUUUUAUUAACUUGUUCUGCAUCUAAUUUUGUUACAUUUCAUAUCCCCAAAUUAUAAAUUUGAUUCAAAAUUUUCUCUCCUGUUCCAUAUGUUGAUGGGGUCUUUUGACAGUUUGACCUUUAAGAAAGUUCUUUCGAUCUCUCCUAAAUGAGUGAUAUUGGUCAAGGAGCAUUUUGUGGCAAUCAAACCAUGAUUGUUUUCUUCCAUGCUGUAAUCUAAGGGAUUGUGUUUCCUUUAUACAAUAAGGGCAUGCUAAUUUACCCGCAAUACUCCAUUCUGAUAACAUAGAAUAUGCUGGAAAGUCACUAAUUGUCCAUGCCAAAGUUGCCAUUAAUUGAAAGUUUUGCCUUUUUGAGAUGUCAAAUACUUCUACACCUGUCUCUCACAAUAAGGUCAGUUCCUUUAUUAGAGGAUGCAAAUAAACAUCAAUUUUAUGUUUGGGAUUGCUCGGACCGGGAACAAUGAUUGUUAAGAAUAUAUAAGCCUUUUUCAUGCACAUUCUUAGAGGGAAAUUGUAUGGAGUGACAUUCACUGCCCACGAAGAAUAUUUCCUUCCAGACUGACUGAAUGGUUGAAAACCAUUCGUACAUAACUCCAACCUAACAUUUAUUGGUUCAGCGGCAAAAAAGUGAUUAGUUUCAUUGAAGUACUUCCAAGCCUCAGAAUCUGAUGGAUGACGCAUCACACCAUCCUCUUUUUUAUGAUCAUGAUGCUAUCUCAUGUCGGUAGCUGUAGCAUGGGAUGCAUAUAAUCUUUGCGAUCUCGGAAUCAAAGAAAAAUAAUACAUUUUCUUGUAAGGAACCAAUUUCCUCUUAGGAGAGCUAACACAACGCUUAUACAUUGGCUUGCUACAAAAUUUACAAGAUGUAAGGUGUUCAUCAUCAUCACCCCAAUACAACAUACAUCCUGAUUCAUAGCAA